rnacentral:lncRNA from 1 species
CUAGACUCAGGUAUCCCAACCUUCUUUCUCUCUCGCACUCAAGAACCGAAGCUUCUCCAACCAGCACCGAGACUCCGCCUCACCAGCAGUCGCACCACCUCCGUCAAAUCGCCGGAUGUCUUCCUCCGAAACCACCACCAGCGACAUCGCCCCUUCUCCUCCCUUCCGUAGCAGCCAAGGGUUGGGGCUUUCCUUCCCCGCUAUCACCAAACCCAUCGUCGGCAACUCCUUUAAGGGCAUCCACCUCGCCAGAAACCCUAGGGUUUUCUCACCCCCCAAACCCUGAAGGCUAAUCUCGCGUGCGAGAGGGAGACAUCUCCACCAACGGUGAUUCGCCCUUGCUGCCGUCAUCGAGGAACUGACCACCGCCGCUUGCAGUCCACAAACUCACCAUGAACCACCAGGGAUGCCUCCAACCACAGUAACGAAUCAGUUUUGCCCCGCCACCUAUUGCGUAUGAACGGGAGAUUCCUUCACUUCCAAACAGCGAGCACUUACUGUUAUUCGUUAACGGAGAAUCGAAACCCUUUCUCGUCGAACACUAUUCAAGCGAAACAACAAUCGAACGUCCUGAACGUACCAGAGAUUAAUCUCCUCCACAGCUGCCAUCACCCUGAAUCUUUCCAUCAACCUAACUGCCGAACCCCUGAGCAACUUCUUUCUUCUAUUGCUAAAUCUAUUUGGCUGAGUGAAUUUCUCAUUACCGAUUGAAUUUUAUUGAUGGUUUGUAUUGGGAAAAAAUUUGAGCAAUGGAAAUUGUCUGAUGAAGAAAAACUGCGAUGAAAAUGGUUUUUGUUGUAUGACUUUCUGCAUUUCAGGUAGUUGGGGAAGACAGGUUGAUAGUAUAAUGGAGGCACUUGUGUGUUUGUAUAUUGGGUAAUACUGGGAAGAAACUCAAUGCUCACAACACCAUGCUCAACAAUACAACAGUGCAUUCAUCAGUAACAUACGACAAUUUUUCAUAACAUGGAAUAGAAAAUUACCUCUUGGAGCUCUUGUAGUUGAUCCUGGAUAUCUCCGGUGAUCGGUGAGAGUAACCAGACUCCUCCAGGUAGCUUCUGCUCUGUGACUUUUUGUUUUUUUGCCGAGACCCUUAAACCACUUCUCUUUUCUUUUCAGCUUUCCCUCUCUCUUUGUUCCUUAACCAAUUUUCGUUCCCUUCCACCACUACCAAUUCUGUUUUUUUCCUUGCCAACUCAUCACACCCCUGCUCCCUCACACCCAACACACACAAAUCAAAUCUUUUCCUCCACGUGUUUUCCACACGUUUUUUCUUCUCUCUUCUUUUCCUUUUUCUUUCUUCUUUUUUUUUUUUAAUUUUUAAUUAAUUAAUUUUCAUAUUUUAAUUAAUUAUACUAGUUAUAUUAAAAUAACAACAGAAAGUAAAAUCAAAGUUAACAACGAAAAGAAUAAGAGAAGAAAAUAAACAAUUCAAAUAAAUUAAAGAAUCAAAUAAAGAAGAAAACAAUUGUUGCAAACACUCGGACGAAAUUGAGUGUUAACAGGUGUAUACUGGUUGUACAAUGGUAGUACGAAGGGUGUAUAAAGGUUAUACAAAACGUGUAGAAAUAGUGUAGGAAGGGUGUACAAAUUUAUAGAAAAAUUUAUAAAUGGUGUACGAAGGGUGUACAAAGCUAGUACAAAGGGUAUAUAAAAGUUGUACAAUGGGUAUACAAAGGGUAUACAAUGGGUGUACAAAGGGUGUACAAAGGGUGUACAACGAAUGUAAAAAAGGUGAGGGAGGGUGUAGAAAUAAUGUACAAAGGGUGUAUAAAAGAUGUACAAAGGGUGUACAAAGAGUGUGCAAAUGAUGUAGAAAGGGUGUACGAAAUUUGUACAACCAUUCUACAUCGUUUUACAAAAUAUGUAGAAAGGCUGCAAAAUUAUGUACAAAGAAUUUACUAAGGGAAGGGAAUACAAAGGGUGUUGAGAGGAUGUACCAAGGGAGUGGAAAUUGUGUACAAAUGGUGUAUAAAGGGUGUACAUCCAUUCUACAUCUUUUUACAAAAUAUACAGAAAGACUACAAAAGGUGUACAAAAAGUAUACAAGGGAUGCACAAAGGGCAUAUAAAUGUUUUACAAAGAGUGUAUAAAGAGUUUACAUUGGAUAUACAAAUGGUGUACGAAGGUUGUACAAUUGGUGUACAAAGAGUGUAUAAAGGUUGUACAAAUGGUGUACACUCACUCUACAUCUUUUCAAAAAAUAUUUAAAAAUUUUGCAGAAAGGUAUACAAAAGAUGUAAAAAGGGUGUACAAUGAGUGUAUAAAGGGUGUACAAAAGGUGUAUAAAAGGUGUACAACAAGUGUACAAAUGUACAAAGCAUAUACAGAGGUUGUAUAAAGGGUGUAAAAAGAUUUUAGAAAAAAUGUAUAAAGUGUGUACAAAAGGUUUACAAAGGGUGUACACCCAUUGUACAUCUUAUGACAAAAUUUGCAGAAAGACUGCAGAAGGGUGUCCAUGACGUAAACAAAGGGUAUAGAAAGGGUGUAGAAAGAGUUUAUAAAAGAUGUACAAAGGGUGUAUAAAUGAUAUAUAAAGGGAGUACAAAAGAUGUGCAAAGAAUGUAUAAAAGGUAUACAAAGGGUGUAUAAAAGGUGUACAAACUAUGUACACCAAUUCCACAUCUUUUUACAAAAUAUGUAGAAAAACUGGAGAAGGACGUACAAAAAAUAAAAAAAGGGUGUACAAACGAUGUAUAAAGAGUAUAGAAAUGUUGUACAAAUUGUGUAUAAAGAAUGUACAAAGGGCAUAGAAAUGGUGUACAAAGGUUGUAUAAAUAAUGUACAAAAGUUGUUUAAAGGGUGUACAAAUGGUAAAAUAUGUCGAAAUGUUGUAGAAGGGUGUAUAAUAGGUGUUGAAAGGGUGUACAAAAGAUGUAUAAAUGGUGUACAAAUGGUGUAUAAAGGUUGUACAAAGGGUGUAGAAAGGGUGUACAGAGGGUGUACACCAAUUCUACAUCUCCUAACAAAAUAUGUAAAAAGACUGCAGAAUGGUGUACAUACGGUGUACAAAGGGUAUAGAAGUUGUGUACAAAAGUUGUACAAAAGGGUGUAAAAAGAGUGUACUAAUGGUGUACACACAUUCUAUAACUUUUUGAAAACUAUGUAGAAAUGUUGCAAAAGAAUGUAUAAAGGGCAUACAAAAGGUGUGUACAGGGUGUACAAAGGGUGUACAUCCGUUCUAUUUCGUUAGACAAAAGAUGUAGAAAUGUUUGAAAAUGGUGUACAAAAGGUAUACAUAGGAUGUAAAAAGGAUUUACAAAGAAUUUACAAAGGGUGUAAAAAUGGUGUAUAAAGUGUGUAUGAAGGGCAUACAAAGGGUAUAAAAGGAGUGUAUAAAUGGUGUAUAAAAGAUGUACAAAGAGUGUAAAAAUGAUGUAUAAAGGAUUUACAUGAGGUAUAUAAAAGGUCCAUAGAAAGUGAACAAAGGGUGUACAAAAAUGUAGAAGGAUGUAGAAAGACUGUACAAAGGAUGUACAAUGGAUAUAAAGGUUGUACAAAGGGUGUAUAAAGGGUGUACAAAAGGUCUACAAUGAGUGUGCAAAGAGUGUAUAAAGGGUGUACAUUGUUUGAACACACAUUCUAUAUCGUUUAACAAAAUAUGUAGAAAGAUUGCAGAAUGAUGUACAAAGAGUAUACUAAGGGAAUACAAAAGGUGUAGCGAGGGUGUAAAAAUGAUGUACAAAAGGUGUAUAAAUGUGUACAAAGGGUGUAAAAAGAGUGUAAAUGAUGUCUAAAGAGUGUAAAAAAUUUGUACAACCAUUCUACAUCGAUUUACAAAAUAUGUAGAAAGGCUGCAGAAUUAUGUACAAAGAGUAUACUAAGGGAAUACAAAGGGUGUUGAGAAGACGUACUAAGGGUGUAGAAAUUGUGUACAAAGAGUGUAAAAAUGGUGUACAAUCAUUCUACAUCUUUUUACAAAAUAUGUUGAAAGGCUUCAGAAUGAUGUAUAAAGGGUAUACAAAGGGUGUCCAAAAGGUGUAUAAUGAUGAAGGUUGAAAAAUAAUUAUUUUCAUAUGUCAAUUUGGACCAAAUUACACCCUUUACUACUCGGAAUGAGCUUAGAAUCAAGCAAAACUCAAUAAAUGAGUCUGAAGAGAGUCAAAAGCUGUUUUUAGCGAUUUUAUGCUUGUUUUGCAUUGUUUUGUAGCUAAUUUGAGAAAAGUAAAAAAUGGAGUUAAAGAUACAGGUCGUUGACUCAAGAAAAGAGCAGAAAAAUGAAGAUUUGAAGAGUCGACGCACCGCCCAGCGACAAUGAUAAAGGUUCUUGGAAUGAUUUGAAAGAAUGGUUGAAUUAUCAAAUGGUUGGAGUGCAGAAAAGUCAAACAAAAUGCAGGAAAGUCAACCAGUUAACUAGAAAAGUCAAUCGGUCAACCAGAAAAGUCAACCAGUCAACCAGUUGACCAUAAUGCUGAAAAGUUGUAUUUUAAUUUACUAGUUUAGAAUUUUUAGACAAACUUUGACAUUGUGGGCCAAUUUUUGGUAUUUGUUGUUGAGCCCAAUAAUAAAAAAUAGACACAUGGGACCCUAGGGUUGGGUUGACCCCACCCUAAUUUUGGAGACACUUGAUCCUAGGAAAGAGGAGGCAAUGAGCCGUCACUCACUUGGAGGAUUCUUGGCUGAAACAGGAUUUUUGGAGGACAUAUAUUCCUCUCGGCAAUUUGGCUAGCAGCGUUUUCAAGGGGACUCUUUGGGGGACUGCAACGUUUUUGGAGGAGAGCACUUAGGAAUGUAGGUUGUUUACGAUCUUUAAUGGGUUUUUACUUUGAAUGUUUUUGGAGAGUUUGCAAUGUGGCUUACGGGUUCCAAUGAUUGAAUCAAACUAUCACAUUUUCUUUUCCAUUUUUAUUUAAUUUUUGUGCAAGUGUGUCUUUCAUCUUAAUUUUCAUUGACUGCAAAGAUUAAAUAGAAAAGUGAGUGGUGUUACAGCCUGAAGGGAAUUAUCACACAUAGCCUUUACUUGUCUUUUGAAAGAAACUUGCGCUGAUUCACAUGCUGCAGCUAACACUUAAUUCAUUUUGGUCUUGGGAAGUUGGGAGAAUGUGCUGCAGUAGCUUUGAUAUUACUCACGGUGCAGUUUUUUUUAGAAGGAUAAUUUUUUGAAGAAGUUGAUGUGAUGGAUUAUGGGUGAAAACUUUCGUGAGUCUUGCUUGGAAGGCAAUGGGAACAUUUGCUGCAACAUGUGGUUAUGGUCCUGAAUGAAGGAAUCUUUAGAAGCAUAAUUCAUUUUUUUUUAAUUUAAGGAGAAAAGCCUUCGGGAGAAGCUGCAAGCGUUGGAGCUCACACGCAUAUUGAUUCCAUUUUGGAAGAAAUGGUGCAACACGAUCCACAUGGAAAAAGGUUUUGUCUUAUAUUUUCUUAGGAGAAAGAAUACAAUGGUCAAGUGAAUAGGUGUUAAAUAAAUUUUUCUUUUUAUUUUCUUAUGCUUUAAUUUAAUUUGACAUAGUUUGUUGAGUUGGGUUUUAUGUUUUUAAAUUUAUUGAUGCACUUUAAUAGUUUUAAUUGUGCUUAGAUAAUUGUUUGCUCUAGUGUUGGGUUUAACAUUUUCACUCUCUAGACUCGAUUUUAAAAAAAAUAACUGCAACCACACCAGAGGUCCAAAUGCUACGUUUUAUAUAUCACAUGAAAGAUAAUUGAGUCUAAUUUCCAGGAAAAAAAACCUCAUCUCAUUUGGAGCUCUGUAGAAAAAGUUAUGGGUAAAACAUUGAGCAGAGGUCAGAGUUGUCCAGUUCCAGCGUGAACUUUCGUAUUUACUGUAGCAGUUUCGUUUUUACUGUUUUAAUUUCAUUUUCAUGCAUGGUGAAAUGUGUUGUUGCAUUUAAUUUCGUUUUAAUUGAAUUUAGUUACGUUUUUGAAAAAACAGUUUCAAAAUCCCCCCCCCACUUUGUGUUAGACCUAAGAUCGAACCACAGUUUGGUCCUUGAGAGACGACCUAGGGGUCAUUCCCUAGCUAUACUGCACUUUAAAAUGCACAGUAAAUUUGAUUGGACGACGACACCCAUCACUUAGGCACAUAAACACACUUUUCACCCAUUUGGGGUAGAUUUUGAGAUGGUGACAACUCUCCUUUUCUCCUUUUUAGGGUUUGUAUCUCUUUCAUUCCAUUCUUCAUCUAGAUUCAUCAUGACAAUGGUGAACUAAACCUUAUUGUUGUUAGGGGAAACAAUGUAAUCUUUUGAUACUCUCUUUUAUUGAAACUCUU